rnacentral:lncRNA from 1 species
CUCACCACGGGCCCAGAGACAACAAAGCCAGCUGACCAUGGACUGAAGCCUUUGAAACCAUGAGCCCAAAUACACCUUCCCUCCUUUGUCACAGGGAUGGAGAGCUGACUUACACAUGGGCAGAGUCACUCAUGUUCCAGUUCAAGGAAGUCAGAGAGACAGACUGAGAGUGGUAUCUCCACGGCAGCAGGAACACACCAAGAGCCUUUUUCUCCCACAGAUGACCUCUUUAUCCUGUAUUGUCAUCUCUGUUCAUGACCAAGGGACCAUCACAGGGACCCAGAACUUAGUUGUUCUGGAGCCAGGACCUUCCCUUGCCCCACAUCUUUGUUUCUGCAGCAGCUGACGGGACCCCUCUCCAGUGCCUGCUCCCAUGGGAACCAGCAUGGUGGCCUCCUGACUGAUCCGCACUGCUCUUCAGCACACUCUAGUUUGACUUUGGAAAGUGCAGCUCUGAUCCCACUGGACCCUUUCUCAAGGGACCCUCUUUUCUUUAUACUGCAGUGCCUGUCCCUCCCACGGGGACCUUUAGGGGCUCUUGCCUGGCAUUCAGGACAUUCCACUGUACCCACAUAGCCUGACCUCCCCUUCAUCCACUGGCUCCCAUUCCACUCACGAGGCCCCAUGCUAAUCACUGUGGACAUUCCGCCCCCUGUAACCUUGUGCUAUGAAUCGGAUGUGCUUUGCCCCCAAAGAGGCUUGGUCCUAAUGUGGUGGUAAUAUGAGGUGGUGGCACCUUUAAGAGGUAGGGCUUAGAGGAAGGUGGUUAGGUCAUUGUGCUGCUCAAAGGGCAUUAAUGUAGCUCUCACAGAGCCCAGGUCAGUUCUCAUAAGAGUGGGUUCUUGUAAAAUUAGGUUAAUACAUGUGCCUGCCCCCUUCUGCACACAGCUGCUUCUCCUGCUUUUCCCUCCUGCCGUGUGAUACAGCCACAGGUGUCCUCAUCUGGGGCCAAACAAGUUGCCCAAUCUUGGACUUUUAGUCUCCAAAACUGUGAGCUUAAGAAACCUCUUUUCUUUAUACUAAUUAUUCAACCUCUGGUUAUUUUGUUAUAAGAACAUAAAACAGACUAAUAUGCCAUGCAAGGUAGCUAUUAUUGUCCCCAUCUUGUAGAGGAGGACACUGAAUUUUAAAAGCAGUUGAGUAACCUGUUCUAAGUCCCAUAACUUGAUAGGGAGGCUGAGGUUUGAAUUUGGGUUUUUCUGGCUCCAAAGUCCUUCACUGAAUAAACAAAACAACUGAGAGCACAGAAUGAGUAUACACAAUAAUAAUAGAAGCAGGACUCAAAGCAGGGCUAUCAUGGUGGCACAUGCCUGUAAUCCCAGCAACUCGGAGGCUAAGGUAGGAGGAUCGCAAGUUCAAAGCCAGCCUCAGCAAUUUAGUGAGGCCCUCAGCAGCUUAGUGAGACCUUGUCUCUAAUAAAAUUUUAAAAAAUAAAAAAGGACAAGGGAUGUGGCUCAGUGAUUGAAUGCCCCUAGGCUCAAUCCCUGGUACCAAAAAGAAAAGAAAUAGGACUCAAGAUCCAAGAGUGGCAAAAAGUUCAGGUGCACCAUGGCCAGCGCUGAGGAUACUCUUUUGUAUCCAGAUCAGAUGGGUGACUGUGACGGUGCCUAACUUGCACACACCAAAAAGCUGCAGAUGAGAAGUAUAAAAUGCCAGGGAAAAUAAUACCCUGAAAAUGCCCUGCACCCUGCAAGUCAGAAAAGAUGUGGGAUGCACUUUCUGUGUAGUAGCUGAAUGUCGGUGAUGCAUCACCGUUUUAAAGGAACUUUAAGUAGAGCAAAAUUCAAAGUUAAAAAGUAAAGGCUCUAAAUGUGAUGUGGUGUCCUGGAUUGCAUAUUGGACCAGAAAAAAAAAAGACUAUUAGCAGGGAAACUGGUGAAAUCUUAAGUCAGCAGUUUAGUUAAGUAUUGCCCCAAUGUUCAUGUGUUCUUUUUAAUAAAUCUAUGGUUGCGUAAGAUGUUAACAUUGGAGGAAUCUGAGUGAAGGGUAUAAGGAACUCUCUGUACUAUUUUUGCAACUCUAUUUUAAGCCUAAAGUUAUUUUAAAAUAAAAAAGUAUAAAAAAUAAGAGAAUGACCUUCUACUUAAUUUCAUUAGCACUCCUCUUUUUCUCUUUGUUCCUAAAUGGUCAUGUAGUCCUGAACUAAACGUUUCAU